UACGGAGGGGGCUAGCGUUGUUCGGAAUUACUGGGCGUAAAGCGCACGUAGGCGGUUAGGUAAGUCGGAUGUGAAAGCCCUGGGCUUAACCUGGGAACUGCAUUCGAUACUGCCGGGCUAGAGGACGGGAGAGGAGCGCGGAAUUCCCGGUGUAGCGGUGAAAUGCGUAGAGAUCGGGAGGAAGGCCGGUGGCGAAGGCGGCGCUCUGGAACGUUUCUGACGCUGAGGCUCGAAAGCGUGGGGAGCAAACAGG
rnacentral:rRNA from 1 species